GAUGGACGCUAGCGGCAGGCCUAAUACAUGCAAGUCGAGGGGUAGAAGAGGCUUGCUUCUUUGAGACCGGCGCACGGGUGCGUAACGCGUAUGCAACCUACCUUCAUCUGGGGGAUAGCCCGGAGAAAUCCGGAUUAAUACCGCAUAAAAUCACAGGAUGGCAUUAUCCAAUGAUCAAACAUUUAUGGGAUGGAGAUGGGCAUGCGUGUCAUUAGCUAGUUGGCGGGGUAACGGCCCACCAAGGCGACGAUGACUAGGGGAUCUGAGAGGAUGGCCCCCCAAACUGGUACUGAGACACGGACCAGACUCCUACGGGAGGCAGCAGUAAGGAAUAUUGGUCAAUGGAGGCAACUCUGAACCAGCCAUGCCGCGUGCAGGAAGACUGCCCUAUGGGUUGUAAACUGCUUUUAUUCGGGAAUAAACCUUAUUACGUGUAAUAAGCUGAAUGUACCGAAGGAAUAAGGAUCGGCUAACUCCGUGCCAGCAGCCGCAGUAA
rnacentral:rRNA from 1 species